CAGCACUUCAGAUGACAACUUACUGAAGAACAUCGAGCUGUUUGACAAACUAGCCCUGCGCUUCCAUGGGCGGCUGCUCUUCCUCAAGGAUGUCCUAGGAGAUGAGAUUUGCUGCUGGUCUUUCUACGGGCAGGGCCGAAAAAUUGCCGAGGUGUGCUGUACCUCCAUAGUCUAUGCUACGGAGAAGAAGCAGACCAAGUUCCAGAAUCUACUGUGUACUGGGCACCUCUCCCAUGAGGCAAAACUAAUGGAUCCAGUCUGACCCCAGGACCUUAGUCGAGUGUGCUGAGAAAACAGCCGACUCUGACAGGUCCUGAGUUCAAUUCCCAGCAACCACACGGUGGCUCACAAUUAUCUGUAGUGAGAUCCGACGCCCUCUUCUGGUGUGUCUGAAAACAGAAAAUGCCAGCAGGAAAGCAAAAUUAAAGGAAAAGAUAAAAGGACGCAGAGGGAAAGUGACAGCGAGAUUAUUCAGAAGAGCCACAGAGGAGAGAAAUUAGUGUGAGUCGCCAUGGGGACUCCCAAGGCCCAGCACCCGCCGCCUUCCCAGCUGCUGCUCCUAAUUCUGCUGAGCUGUGCCUGGAUUGAGGGUCUGCCCCUGAAGGAGGAUGAGAUGAUGCCAGAGCCUGGAAGUGAGACUCCCACAGUGGCCUCUGAGGACCUGGCUGAGCUGCUCCAUGGGGCUUUGCUGCGGAAGGGCCCAGAGAUCGGCUUCUUGCCGGGAUCUGACCCAGACCCCACACUAGCCACCCCUCCAGCCGGCCAGACUCUUGCAGCACCUUCCCUGCCACGUGCCACUGAGCCAGGGACAGGGCCUCUGAC
ensembl:processed_transcript Gm21984 predicted gene 21984